UGACACUAGCUCAGUUGGUAGAGCGCAACCUUGCCAAGGUUGAGGUCACGAGUUCGAACCUCGUGUGUCGCUCCA
rnacentral:tRNA from 1 species